GGGCCGGUAGCUCAGUGGUAGAGCGAAGGAUUGCAACUCAUCAGCAAUCAUCCUUAGGUCUCGUGUUCGAACCACGAUCGGCCCU
rfam:Magnaporthe oryzae 70-15 chromosome 1, whole genome shotgun sequence.